AUUGAACGCUGGCGGCAGGCUUAACACAUGCAAGUCGAGCGGAUGAAAGUAGCUUGCUACCGGAUUCAGCGGCGGACGGGUGAGUAAUGCUUAGGAAUCUGCCUAUUAGUGGGGGACAACGUUCCGAAAGGAGCGCUAAUACCGCAUACGUCCUACGGGAGAAAGCAGGGGACCUUCGGGCCUUGCGCUAAUAGAUGAGCCUAAGUCGGAUUAGCUAGUUGGUAGGGUAAAGGCCUACCAAGGCGACGAUCUGUAGCGGGUCUGAGAGGAUGAUCCGCCACACUGGGACUGAGACACGGCCCAGACUCCUACGGGAGGCAGCAGUGGGGAAUAUUGGACAAUGGGGGGAACCCUGAUCCAGCCAUGCCGCGUGUGUGAAGAAGGCCUUUUGGUUGUAAAGCACUUUAAGCGAGGAGGAGGCUACCUAGAUUAAUACUUUAGGAUAGUGGACGUUACUCGCAGAAUAAGCACCGGCUAACUCUGUGCCAGCAGCCGCGGUAAUACAGAGGGUGCGAGCGUUAAUCGGAUUUACUGGGCGUAAAGCGUGCGUAGGCGGCCAAUUAAGUCAAAUGUGAAAUCCCCGAGCUUAACUUGGGAAUUGCAUUCGAUACUGGUUGGCUAGAGUAUGGGAGAGGAUGGUAGAAUUCCAGGUGUAGCGGUGAAAUGCGUAGAGAUCUGGAGGAAUACCGAUGGCGAAAGCAGCCAUCUGGCCUAAUACUGACGCUGAGUACGAAAGCAUGGGGAGCAA
rnacentral:rRNA from 1 species